UUGCUCUUCAACGAGGAAUGCCUAGUAAGCGCAAGUCAUCAGCUUGCGUUGAUUACGUCCCUGCCCUUUGUACACACCGCCCGUCGCUACUACCGAUUGAAUGGCUUAGUGAGAUCUCCGGAUUGGCUUUGGGAAGCUGGCAACGGCUACCUAUUGCUGGGAAGCUGAUCAAACUUGGUCAUUUAGAGGAAGUAAAAGUCGUAACAAGGUUUCCGUAGGUGAACCUGCGGAAGGAUCAUUAAUGAUUAACUGUCUGUCGAGCUUGCUCACAGACUUAUCAUAUCCAUAACACCUGUGCACUUGUCGGAUGGCUUAGUGAAGACCGCAAGGUUGGAUCUAUCCAUCUACUUUACAUAACAAUCUAGUAACAAAUGUAGUCUUAUUAUAACAUAAUAAAACUUUCAACAACGGAUCUCUUGGCUCUCGCAUCGAUGAAGAACGCAGCGAAAUGCGAUAAGUAAUGUGAAUUGCAGAAUUCAGUGAAUCAUCGAAUCUUUGAACGCACCUUGCGCUCCCUGGUAUUCCGGGGAGCAUGCCUGUUUGAGUGUCAUGAAAACCCUCAACCUUAGAUUGGUUAACACCUUUCUUUGGCUUGGAUUUGGACGUUUGCCGAUGAUAAGUCGGCUCGUCUUAAAAGUAAUAGCUGGAUCUGUCUCGCGACAUGGUUUGACUUGGCGUAAUAAGUAUUUCGCUAAGGACAUCUUCGGAUGGCCGCGUUGCAAGACUAAAGACCGCUUUCUAAUCCAUUGAUCUUCGGAUUAAUAUUCUUGACAUCUGGCCUCAAAUCAGGUAGGACUACCCGCUGAACUUAAGCAUAUCAAUAAGCGGAGGA
rnacentral:rRNA from 1 species